GGAAUUUUGGACAAUGGGCGCAAGCCUGAUCCAGCAAUGCCGCGUGAGUGAAGAAGGCCUUCGGGUUGUAAAGCUCUUUUGUCAGGGAAGAAACGGUUCCGGCUAAUAUCUGGAGCUAAUGACGGUACCUGAAGAAUAAGCACCGGCUAACUACGUGCCAGCAGCCGCGGUAAUACGUAGGGUGCAAGCGUUAAUCGGAAUUACUGGGCGUAAAGCGUGCGCAGGCGGUUUUGUAAGUCUGUCGUGAAAGCCCCGGGCUCAACCUGGGAAUUGCGAUGGAGACUGCAAGGCUUGAAUCUGGCAGAGGGGGGUAGAAUUCCACGUGUAGCAGUGAAAUGCGUAGAGAUGUGGAGGAACACCGAUGGCGAAGGCAGCCCCCUGGGUCAAGAUUGACGCUCAUGCACGAAAGCGUGGGGAGCAAACAGGAUUAGAUACCCUGGUAGUCCACGCCCUAAACGAUGUCUACUAGUUGUCGGGUUUUAAUUAACUUGGUAACGCAGCUAACGCGUGAAGUAGACCGCCUGGGGAGUACGGUCGCAAGAUUAAAACUCAAAGGAAUUGACGGGGACCCGCACAAGCGGUGGAUGAUGUGGAUUAAUUCGAUGCAACGCGAAAAACCUUACCUACCCUUGACAUGGAAGGAAUCCCGAAGAGAUUUGGGAGUGCCCGAAAGGGAACCUUCACACAGGUGCUGCAUGGCUGUCGUCAGCUCGUGUCGUGAGAUGUUGGGUUAAGUCCCGCAACGAGCGCAACCCUUGUCAUUAGUUGCUACGCAAGAGCACUCUAAUGAGACUGCCGGUGACAAACCGGAGGAAGGUGGGGAUGACGUCAAGUCCUCAUGGCCCUUAUGGGUAGGGCUUCACACGUCAUACAAUGGUACAUACAGAGGGCCGCCAACCCGCGAGGGGGAGCUAAUCCCAGAAAGUGUAUCGUAGUCCGGAUUGUAGUCUGCAACUCGACUACAUGAAGUUGGAAUCGCUAGUAAUCGCGGAUCAGCAUGUCGCGGUGAAUACGUUCCCGGGUCUUGUACACACCGCCCGUCACACCAUGGGAGCGGGUUUUACCAGAAGUAGGUAGCUUAACCGCAAGGAGGGCGCU
rnacentral:rRNA from 1 species